rnacentral:rRNA from 1 species
AUUGAACGCUGGCGGCGUGCCUAACACAUGCAAGUCGAGCGGUAACAGGUGUAGCAAUACAUGCUGACGAGCGGCGAACGGGUGAGUAAUGCUUCGGAAUCUACCUUAUGGUGGGGAAUAACUAGCCGAAAGGUUAGCUAAUACCGCAUACGUCCUACGGGAGAAAGCAGGGGAUCGUAAGACCUUGCGCCAAAAGAUGAGCCGAAGUCGGAUUAGCUAGUUGGUAGGUAACGGCCACCAAGGCGACGAUCCGUAGCUGGUCUGAGAGGACGACCAGCCACACUGGGACUGAGACACGGGCCCAGACUCCUACGGGAGGCAGCAGUGGGGAAUAUUGGACAAUGGGGGAAACCCUGAUCCAGCGACGCCGCGUGUGUGAAGAAGGCCUGCGGGUUGUAAAGCACUUUUAGUGGGGAUGAAAUGUGCAGGGUCAACACCUCUGCAUUUUGACCUAACCACAGAAAAAGCACCGGCUAACCCUGUGCC